GUAGGGAAUAUUGGACAAUGGGCGAAAGCCUGAUCCAGCCAUGCCGCGUGAUAGAUGAAGGCCCUCUGGGUUGUAAAUAUCUUUUAUCUGGGAAGAAACUCCUCUAUUCUUAGAGGCCUGACGGUACCAGAGGAAUAAGCACCGGCUAACUCCGUGCCAGCAGCCGCGGUAAUACGGAGGGUGCAAGCGUUAUCCGGAUUCACUGGGUUUAAAGGGUGCGUAGGCGGGUUGAUAAGUCAGUGGUGAAAGCUCCGGGCUUAACUUGGAAACUGCCAUUGAUACUGUCAGUCUUGAAUGUCGUAGAGGUAAGCGGAAUGUUGCAUGUAGCGGUGAAAUGCUUAGAUAUGUUACAGAACACCAAUUGCGAAGGCAGCUUACUAUGCGAUAAUUGACGCUGAGGCACGAAAGCGUGGGGAGCAAACAGGAUUAGAAACCCCGGUAGUCC
rnacentral:rRNA from 1 species